rnacentral:rRNA from 1 species
UUUCUGCGGCUGUGCGCGUUUUUCGCUGCACGCCGUAUGAAACCCAUCCUCACACCUGUGAACGCAUUCGGGGGUCGCCGCGAGGCGCUUCCGCCUACAACUUAUAACUACUUAUGUUCAGAAUGUUUAAAACUAUAACAAGUAACAACUUUCAACAACGGAUCUCUUGGCUCUCGCAUCGAUGAAGAACGCAGCGAAAUGCGAUAAGUAAUGUGAAUUGCAGAAUUCAGUGAAUCAUCGAAUCUUUGAACGCAUCUUGCGCUCUGUGGUAUUCCGCAGAGCAUGCCUGUUUGAGUGUCACGUAAACCAUCGCCCUUGGGAUUUCGAUCUCUCGAGGUGGACUUGGACUGUGCCGUAGCCGGCUCGUCUUGAAAUGCAUUAGCUUGUACUCUUUAGAGUGCCGGGCACCGGUGUGAUAAUUAUCUGCGCCAACGCCCAGUUGCCUCUUCUUGCGGUGCUGCUUAUAAUCGUCCGUUCCGGACAGAUCUUUACUAAAGCUUUGGCCUCAAA